GAACGCAUCUUGCGCCCCUUGGCAUUCCGAGGGGCACACCCGUUUGAGCGUCGUGAAACUCUCAACCCUUCUCCCUUUCUUGUUGAACCGGGAGGAUGGCUUGGACUUUGGAGGCUUCUGCCGGUCUCAUCCCUCUUAGAACCGGCUCCUCUUAAAGAAAUUAGUGGGGUCUCAUUUGCCGAUCCUUGACGUGAUAAUAUUUGACGUCUUUUUUUGAGAGGCAGAGAGACCUUGCUUCCAAUGGUCUCAUUCAGGGACACCAGUGAGAUCAAAGAUCCCACUAAACCCCCAUUGACCUCAAAUCGGGUGAGACUACCCGCUGAACUUAAGCAUA
rnacentral:rRNA from 1 species